GCAGUCGAGCGACGGACGAGAAGCUUGCUUCUCUGAUGUUAGCGGCGGACGGGUGAGUAACACGUGGAUAACCUACCUAUAAGACUGGGAUAACUUCGGGAAACCGGAGCUAAUACCGGAUAAUAUUUUGAACCGCAUGGUUCAAAAGUGAAAGACGGUCUUGCUGUCACUUAUAGAUGGAUCCGCGCUGCAUUAGCUAGUUGGUAAGGUAACGGCUUACCAAGGCAACGAUGCAUAGCCGACCUGAGAGGGUGAUCGGCCACACUGGAACUGAGACACGGUCCAGACUCCUACGGGAGGCAGCAGUAGGGAAUCUUCCGCAAUGGGCGAAAGCCUGACGGAGCAACGCCGCGUGAGUGAUGAAGGUCUUCGGAUCGUAAAACUCUGUUAUUAGGGAAGAACAUAUGUGUAAGUAACUGUGCACAUCUUGACGGUACCUAAUCAGAAAGCCACGGCUAACUACGUGCCAGCAGCCGCGGUAAUACGUAGGUGGCAAGCGUUAUCCGGAAUUAUUGGGCGUAAAGCGCGCGUANGCGGUUUUUUAAGUCUGAUGUGAAGCCCACGGCUCAACCGUGGAGGGUCAUUGGAAACUGGAAAACUUGAGUGCAGAAGAGGAAAGUGGAAUUCCAUGUGUAGCGGUGAAAUGCGCANAGAUAUGGAGGAACACCAGUGGCGAAGGCGACUUUCUGGUCUGUAACUGACGCUGAUGUGCGAAAGCGUGGGGAUCAAACAGGAUUAGAUACCCUGGUAGUCCACGCCGUAAACGGUGAGUGCUAAGUGUUAGGGGGUUUCCGCCCCUUAGUGCUGCAGCUAACGCAUUAAGCACUCCGCCUGGGGAGUACGACCGCAAGGUUGAAACUCAAAGGAAUUGACGGGGACCCGCACAAGCGGUGGAGCAUGUGGUUUAAUUCGAAGCAACGCGAAGAACCUUACCAAAUCUUGACAUCCUUUGACAACUCUAGAGAUAGAGCCUUCCCCUUCGGGGGACAAAGUGACAGGUGGUGCAUGGUUGUCGUCAGCUCGUGUCGUGAGAUGUUGGGUUAAAGUCCCGCAACGAGCGCAACCCUUAAGCUUAGUUGCCAUCAUUAAGUUGGGCACUCUAAGUUGACUGGCNGGUGACAANCGGGAGGAAGGGGGGGAUGACUUCNAAUCAUCAUGGCCCUUAUGAUUUGGGCUACCCAGUGCUACAUGGAAAAUACAA
rnacentral:rRNA from 1 species